ACUCUCUUUCUCUUCCGGAUUUCCCCAAAAUCAAAACCCCAACUCUACCUUACUCCUUUCUCUUCCCGAUUUUCCCAAAAUCAAAACGAAAAGAAGACGAAAAUGGGUUUUAGUUGGUUUACGGAAAGAAGAAAGGAGAGAGUCAGGUGGUGGUCAGUAACGAAGCUGAGAAUUUGAGUUUAUCUGAGGUGAAGGUGGCUUAUAAGGG
rnacentral:lncRNA from 1 species